UACAGAGGGUGCGAGCGUUAAUCGGAAUUACUGGGCGUAAAGCGUGCGUAGACGGUUAUUUAAGUCGGAUGUGAAAGCCCCGGGCUCAACCUGGGAAUUGCAUUCGAGACUGAAUAGCUAGGGUGCGGUAGAGGGAAUCGGAAUUUCCGGUGUAGCGGUGAAAUGCGUAGAUAUCGGAAGGAACAUCAGUGGCGAAAGCGGCUUCCUGGACCAGCACCGACGUUCAGGCACGAAAGCGUGGGGAGCAAACAGG
rnacentral:rRNA from 1 species